CACCAAGCAGGGUCCCUGGAUGAAUAU
rnacentral:piRNA from 1 species